rnacentral:rRNA from 1 species
GGCCAUACUCCUACGGGAGGCAGCAGCAGGGAAUAUUGCACAAUGGACGGAAGUCUGAUGCAGCGACGCCGCGUGGAUGAAGAAGGCCCUCGGGUUGUAAAAUCCUUUACAGGGGGAAGAGGAAGGACGGUACCCCUGGAACAAGUGUCGGCUAACUACGUGCCAGCAGCCGCGGUAAGACGUAGGACACAAGCGUUAUCCGGAUUUACUGGGCGUAAAGCGUCUGCAGGCGGACAGGUAAGUUGGGCGUGAAAGCUCCGGGCCCAACCCGGAGAGGUCGUUCAAUACUGCGUGUCUAGAGGGUGUCAGAGGGGAGUGGAAUUUCCGGAGUAGCGGUAAAAUGCGCAGAGAUCGGAAAGAACACCAAUGGCGAAGGCAGCUCCCUGGGGCAACCCUGACGCUAAGAGACGAAAGCUAGGGGAGCGAACAGGAUUAGAGACCCUGGUAGUCCUAGCCCUAAACGAUGGAUGCUGGAUGUGGGGCCAUAGCGCUCCGUGUCGAAGCGAACGCGUUAAGCAUCCCGCCUGGGGACUACGGCCGCAAGGUUAAAACUCAAACGAAUUGACGGGACCCCGCACAAGCAGCGGAGCGUGUGGUUUAAUUCGAUGCUACACGAAGAACCUUACCUGGGUUUGACAUCUAGGUGGUAGUGAAGCGAAAGCGGAGCGACCCUUCGGGGAGCCUAGACAGGUGCUGCAUGGCUGUCGUCAGCUCGUGCCGUGAGGUGUCGGGUUAAGUCCCGUAACGAGCGCAACCCUUGCCCUCCGUUAUACGUGUCAGAGGGGACUGCCGGCGGUAAGCCGGAGGAAGGUGGGGAUGACGUCAAGUCAGCAUGGCCUUUAUAUCCAGGGCUACACACACGCUACAAUGGCCAGUACAAAGGGCAGCGAAGCCGCGAGGCGGAGCGAAUCCCAGCAAAGCUGGUCGUAGUUCGGAUUGCAGGCUGCAACCCGCCUGCAUGAAGCUGGAGUUGCUAGUAACCGCGCGUCAGCCAUAGUGCGGUGAUACGUUCCCGGGGUUUGUACACACCGCCCGUCACGUCAUGGGAGUCGAUAUCGCCUGAAGCCGGUGCCUAGCUCGGAAGAGAGGGCGCUGUCUAAGGCGGGGUCGCGACUGGGACGAAGUC